AGCGAGGCUCUGCCAGGAAGUUUUUCGGAGCUCCCUUCUUCAAAUAAAGUCCGUCAAAGCUUAUUUGAUCCAGUCUUGUCUGCCUGUUGCACAGUGAAGAGGCUGGAACGGCCCGUAAUUGAGGUGUGACCCAAAUAACAGAACAUGGUGCGCACUUGACUGAGCCCCAUUGACCUACAUAUGAGGGAAACAUUGGCAAAGCAGUGCAAGCAGCACC